GCAUGAGAGCCAUAACACCAUUCUUCCUUGGGCCCUGCACACGCACGCAGAGCUGCUGCUCCUGGUGUUAAUAAAAUAUUGACUGCGUCACCCCACAAACAUGAUGGCUCAGAGCAAAGAGGCAUUUUUCCAAAAGAGUCUGGCUUCUACCUACUUAAUCUUCUGAGGUUCUCUCAGGGAAGCACCUAGUGAUCUGAACAGCAGGCUCCCUUCUGGGCCUUUGGGAUGGUGCUUUCAGAAUUCUCCACUUCUGCUGGGGUCCCGUGUCCGCUCCUGUGACGAUAACUGCAUGCUGAGGAGGUGGGGUCCCACGAGCUGAGCUUACCUUUUCCAGGUGUGCUUCCAACAGGAAUGUCGAAUACCUCAGGUGCUGUUUAGGACCACAACCCACCUGAGGACAAAAACAGGUGACAAUAACCAGCUGAUCAGACAAUGGACUCGGGAGUCUUACAGUGACUAAUAUUGCUGGGGAUGGAACCCAAGACCUCACACAUGCUAGGCAAGCACUCCUCCAAGGAGCUACACCCUAAUCCUUUCUUUGAUUUAGAGAUAGCAUCUGCCAAACUUGCCCAGGCUGGCCUCCAACGUGGGAUCCUCCUGCCUCAGCCUCCAGAACUGCUGAGAUUACAGGUGUGUGACACUCUGCCUGGAUUUUUCUGCCUUAAUUUUAAAGACACUAAACAUCCCAAGAAUGGAUACUCCUCAGUUUCUCCUGGGACUUUUACCAUAAAGCACUGUAAAUGUUGAAAACAUCUCCUGAGAACAGGAGAGACAGGAUCUUUGGACUCUAACAUAGUUAACAACAACUGUGUUGUGCCUACGUUGUGAAGACUUCUUUUCUGAGAACAUGUUGUCUGCCCUGAUCUUGUUGUCUGUCCUCUUGCAGGAUCAUACAAGAAAUAGUAGGGUCAUGGCAUAGAGUAGUUGAGUCUUUAUAACUGUCCUUUUUUCCAGAAAAUGAGUCAAGUCUAUGUUUUAAAACAUCCUAGGAUAACAGCUCAUAAUGCAGUUGGACAAAGAAAGAAUGAAUGAAUUGGAGAAAUAAAAACAAAUAUCAUGCACAGCAACUGUUCAGGCAACUUUCUGUUACUGUAACAAAAAACCUGAGAUCACCAAAUUAUAAGAAUGAAAGGUUUAUUUGACUCAGUUUUAGAUAUUUCAGCCCCUGCAUGGCUGGCCUCUUGCUUUGGGGCCUGUGGUGAGACAGGACACUGUGGCAGAAGUCCAUGGGAGAAGCAGCUACUAAUUUUAUGGCUGUUGGGAAGCAAAAGAGAGAGGAAGAGGCUGAAGUCCCGACAUCCCCUUUAGGGGCAUGCCACUAGUGUCCUCAAUUUCUCUCCCUACGUCCUGCCUCUCAAGGAUCCACCAUCUCCCAGGAGUACUCCAGGCUGGUGACCAAGUCUUUAGCACAUGGGUGUUUGGGGGACAGUCAUCCAAACCAGAGCUGUCUGAAUAUGCCCCGAACCUCUUCAAAACCGCCAUCCUCCAACCAGAGAGUAAUCAAGCAGGAAAAAAAAAACCUCAGAGCCUUCACUGUCAGAUGCCAUCCGCACCGAGGGGGACACACUCCACUGUGGGUACGGAACCUGGAACUGACCCUGAGGCUGCCAUCUCCCCUGGUUGCCUCUGCCUGUGGACCAGGCUCUGUCCUCAGGACAGUGCCACUGAACACGCAUGGGUCGGACAGGUGAAGAGCUUCCCGGGCCCUGCUCACUCCAGAAUCCAGUCCCUUUACACACCGGCCAGAGCCCCUCCUCAGGCUUUAGUCUGCAGAGCCCACCUGCACAGACAGGGCUGACUCUCCAGGCCUGUGGCAUCACCUCCAGCUACUCAGAACAUCUACCUCAUGAGGUCUUCGUAUCCCCAGGGCUGUGGGCCACAGUGGAGAGCCCGUGCCAACAAGGUGAUUGUACUAGGGUGGAGACAUGAAGCCAGGCCAUAUCAGGGGACCUUGAAGGGCUGGAGACUCUGUGGUCAGUAGAUGGUUUGAGAGGAGACUCUACACCCAUUCCCCACCAGCUGUGCCCAUGGGGCUGACUGCUGAGCUUUCUGUCCUUGAUGACCAGGGGUAGCACUUUUGACAUCCAUCAAUAUGCCCUUCCUCUGGGGAGGGGGUACCCCUCACAGUCUCUGCUCUUUCUGUCUUUAUCACAGACCUUACCUGGAUGUGCGUCCACAGUGUAUUUGAAAUCCUACAGUACUCCUGAUUGUCCAAGACUUUUUGGUUUGCUCAAUGUUUACCUACAAGAGAAUUUUAGCGGUACUUUGCCAAACCUCCCCUCUCCUCCCCCCAGGAUUUUGAUGAGAAGUUCAUCUUAGUCACAGUUUCUUGCCAUUUGUCCACGUCUUCUUUGAGGAGUGUCUGCCAAGGUGUGUAGUGCUCUUCAGGAAAGCCCUUUUCAUUUUCUUCUAGAUUGUUAUUUACUGGCAUGGCAUUCUCCACCAGGAGCAUCUGGGUUUUUAACCCGUUCUGCUGUGACCAGCAUCCAGUUAUAUUUACAUGUAACAUAAAAACCACCACCCAUUCCUGCUUUUAGACCUUCUGCAUCAGCAGUCAACCCUCCAGGAAGUGCCUACCAUUUGCUGAGACUCUCGGGCCAGGAGCAACAUCAAAUACUUAAAAAUUGCUCCAAGGACACACUCCAUGCAGGCUGAAAAUCCCUGUUAUCUUACCCUCAAGCCCCAAGAGCUACUAUGACAUACAUGAGUCCUCCUUAAAAGUAAUCCAGGAAGCACAGUCCCGUGUGACAGUGCCAGCGUGUCACGGGCCAUCCACGGCUGCCUUCACCUUUGUGGAUCCUGCAUCUCUCACCCUAAAGCUCCAACCAGAAAUGACAGGAAGACCUCACCAGGUUUUUCAGAAGUGACCACAUGCAGCCCUUCGUCAUCAUGAUGUAAGUGUCUCUGGUUUAGCCUGUUGAUUGGUGGAUUGCACUAACUGUUGGUAACCUGCUGAGCCAGCCUUGCACACCUGCAAUGAACCCCACUGGGUGUGACAUAUUUCCCUUCUAUAUAACAUUGGACUUGCUAGUAUUUGUGGAAGGGUAUUUGCAUCAAUGUUUGUAAGAAGUGCUGGUCUGUAGUUUUCCCGUCUUGUACUGUCUUCGUGUGCUUUGGGUGUCGGGGUGAUGCUGGCCUCGUGACUCAGGGUGGUAUUCCCUCUGCUUUAUUCUCUGCGACAUAUUGUAGAAAAUUAUCAUCAUUUCUUCCUCAAAUGUCUGUUACAAUCUGCCUGUGUACCCACCAGAGACUGGUGUCUACUGUUUUGGAAGGUUAUUAAUUAUUGAUUCAUCCCUUUUAAUAGAUAUGAGCCCAUUCAGAUGAUCUGUUUCUUCUUGUGUGAGUUUUAAAAGAUUGUGUCUUUCAAGGAAUUGGUCAUUAUAUAUGUCAUAAAAUUUUUGGACAUAGGAUUGUUCAAAAUAUUCCUUCCUUGUCCUUUUAAAGUCCAUCUGGUAGAUAAUGAGGAUCCCUCUUUCAUCUUUGAUAUUCUCUUUCUCAGUCUAGAUUAAGGAAUGUUCACAUUAGUUCUAUGGAGCAGCGAGCCAGACAUAUCUGCAAUGACACCCUUCAUUUGUGGCAGUUCCAGCUCCCUCCUCCGUCCCCUGAAGCCUGUGGUUCUGCUCUUUAGAACACACCUGAGAAAUGGCUCAGCCUCUGACUCCCUGAGGUAUUACCCAUCUUCUUCCCUCUCAACUGUGCGCUGAGGCAAAUUCUCUACUGAAAGGUAGCAUCUUAAUUUCUGUGCAAACUAGCAGAAAACAAAGCUAAUACGUCACACUCAUGAGAACAGUCUGUGGUUUUGUGACUUCAGGACUUGGGCAAAGUCGAGAGAGGGGCUUCCGACUGAGCAGCAGAACCACCACAAUAUCCUCGGCUUUGAAAGCUGAAAAAUAAUCAGGGUAGAAGGGAGUAUCCUGGGUAGAAAGUUGAACUAGCUCCCUCCCGGAUGAUGAAAGACAGGGCCAAACUUGAGAGUGCAGGAAGGUAUCAAGAAGCUGGCUGGUAGAUGUUCCCUUCCCACUGACCCCUGUAAGCAGACACAGGAACCGGCAGAAUGCAAGACCCCACACAGUCCCAAGAGGCUUGCAGUCACCUCUCUUGUCCCUUGAAUCUGUUUUUAUUCCAAAGAUAAAGCUAUGGCAUGAAGUGAGAUCACCAAGUGCCUGAAAUAAUUUAAAUCUCUAUUAGUAACACAUAGUUCAUAUAUUACUGGUACAUAUAUGGGAAGAGCCACAUGAGACUUUUACGGAAUGGAUCACAUUUCAUCAGUGUUGUAAGGAUUUCAUUGAUUUGAUCAUACUACAUGAGAACAAUAUAAUGCCUAUCUAGCAAAAUAAAAUCUGAGUACAUGGAUCAAAUACAUGAACUAAUCAUUGCCUUACAAAUCUUAACAUUUACACAUAGUGAAAGCUUCUAACAUCAUUCGUUUCCAGCCAUUAUCAAAAAGUGACGCUAAUAUAUUUGAAGGGUAUUCAAUUCUUGAACUUCCUCAGACUUCCACAUUUUUCCACCUUGGAUCAAAAUAGGUACAUACAUCGUGAAUCUCAGUGACAGGGUGACACGUCGUCAUCACAUCAGGUAGACUUUGUAUCUAGUGUGGCACAGGCUGGUCUAGAGCUCCUGGACUCACGUGGCCCUCCCACCACAACCUUCCCAGUGCUGGGCUCACAGGUGUGCCCCCAACCUGACUUGCCACGACCCGCGACUGAUCAGGUUCACUCCAUGGGAACUGGGCUGACGACCAUACAAACACAGAAAAAAUACCUUUUCUGGGGUGCAGUGACAGCUCCUCAGCCUCCACUCCCAAAAGGGAGGCAAAAGAAAAGCAAGAGAGAGAGCGCGCCCCAGCCCUGGAUUUUACUGGGGAACGCUGUUGGAUAGAACAUUCCAUCCAAAUAAGGCCAAGGGGUGAGAUCACAAGAGAACAAGGGGUCCGGUUUCAGAGGAUGGAGUCUUGCUUGGCGCUGUCUUGGUCGGCAGUUUGACUGACAUCUUGGAGAGUGACACCCAUCUCAGUUGCUCCAGGGGAUCAAAGGCAGAGUUGCCCAGCCCAAUCAGGCAGCAAGGCAGACCAGUUCCUUACACGCUCAAAGGCACAAAGCUCACGCACACAGUCCUGGCUGGCUCACAACACUGACUUGUCACAUAAUCAUUCAUAUGUUUUCAGAAUGAUUUAAAGACUUUGCCAGCUUCUUAAAACUUCUCAGUGAGAGUGAGUCUUCUCAGUAAAGAGUGACUUUUUGUUAAUGGUUGCAAAUGAAUGGUACAGGAAGCUUUCACUAUGUGUAAAUAAAUAUCUUUAUUUCUGACUCUUGGAAAAUGUUAAGGCUCAAAGAGUUUAAGUAAAUUUUCCAAGGAUCCCAGAGGUGCUGAGAACCAGAGUGAGAAUCCUGCAAACUUUUCCUUUCUGGAACCUGCGUGACAACAUGUUUCUCUCUACCCUUUAAUGCUGAAAUACAGCUACAAGCCGGGACAUGUUUACUGAAAUACAGUGAAGAAUACUACUUUGCCGAGGGUCAAAGGAUACAGGAAAAAUCUGUAAGUUAAGCUGAUGCAAUUCACUCAUUUAUCAAUGAGGAAAUUAAAACCAACAUGGAUGAAUUUCUUGUCUAGUCUCCCAACACCAACCAAAGCCUUAUCUACUAUAUUUUGCUGAUAUUUGUACCAAUGUCUUAAAAUAUGAGUUAUUAUGAAAUACACUCUCUAUCACUUCCCUAAUUCACACACUGUUGGUUAUUUGAAAACCAAUUCUCUAGUUGAUAUACUGUUCAAGGCUCUGAAACCACUAACAGUGCUUUGGCUUUUUAACAAGACCUUCUUACCGGCAGUGGGAAGGCAAGUUAGGAGAUGUUCAGUAGAGAAAACGGAUUCUGUCUGUAGCCUCCAUCUUCACCAGGAAUGAAGAGUUUAUAAAGUUACCAGAAAAGCAAGACAAUGGCCUACUAUGAAUUAAAAGAGGUCCUUUUAAAAAAAUAAAAGUUAUGAAUAUUUUACUGCAGAAUUUAACAUGUGAAGGGAAUUCUGACUUUUCAUUUUGAGACAAGGUCUUGCUGGCUUGCUCAGGGCCUCACUAAGACUCUGAGGCUGCCUAUGAACUUGCAGUCCUCCUGCCUCAACCUCCAGUGUUGCUGGGAUCACAGGCGUGCACCAUCACGCCUGGCUGGUUACUAUUUUCUACAAAACAUUUUUAACUUAUGUCAUCUCUCAGGGACAAGACAUGACCUGAGAAGAGCUGUCACCAGUGAGGGCAGGGGCGCAGAGAAGUGGGGCACCACCAGCCCAGCUGCUGCGGUGUCCAGGAGCAAGCCUGUGUGAGCAGCAGGGGAAGAGCCGGUGGCAAAUCCGUGGGCUUGUCAAACUCGAAUCUUGUCCCCACCACUUCUAACCACAUGACUUUGGACCUUAGUUUCCACAUCUCAAAAUGGGAAUAGGGACCUCGCAGGGUUGUUUUGAUUAUUAAGUAAGAAAAGGUGUGUCAAGUACAAAUAAAUAUUAGUGCCUGUCCCUCAUGGUAAUGGUAUUUUUGAUGGGGAAAUACUAGGGUGGUUAUGGGACAAAGGGACAGUCUGAAGUCCAGGCUGUUGGGGAAUACUGGCGCCUCUAGCUGCCCUCUCAGCUUUCUCCUUUCUCUGCUCAUAAUCCCUCUCUGUAACUAUGACAGCCUGACUGCUUUGCAUAACUUCAGACUGUACCUAUCUCUCUGUAUUCUCUGCUUAUUAAAGAGUAAUCUGUUGCAACUGUCAAUCAUCCUACAACAGGUCCAGCACGUGCCAUCUGGGACACAGACCAUACAAAAACUCUCUCCAUGAAACUGUGAGCACAUCCAGUCAUUCAAACCACAUUCCCAUGACCGUCCUCCUAAAUGCUCUGGCUGUGCUGCUGGAACAUGCAACUCUGAAACACAGGCUCAAAACCCUGCUUAGAAAACCUGUACCGCUGGGUUUGCACAAAACGAGAUCUAUGGGUGCUGCACCCUUGCACUUUAAAAUCCUCAACAGCUGGCUGAAGGAAGCACACCCAGAAGUAAUUUGCAUUUAGCUCCUGAAUAAGCUUUACAAUCAAAAGUAAUUUGGUUGAAGCAUAUUGAAGCACCUUGCGUUUGCAGUGGGUGGGGGUUGAUUUAGUCACAGGCCCGCGCUGCAUGCACUGCUUAUGCCGUGAUUCCCAACAAUCCCAAGUGCAAACGAGGGCUCCAUUUUCUUGGUGUUCUGGCACGCUGCUCGUUUUUAUUUUCAAGAUGCCGAGAGUUGGAGGGUGUGCUGUCUCUGAUUGCUGGCUCAUGGGUCAGUGCCAUGAAGACCUCACCUAGGAUGUCACUGAAGAAGCCAGGUGAAUUUUUCUGCAGCCCUUACUGCAGAGACCCCAUGGUUCAUCUGCCACCGAGAAGCCCACGGAGGAGACUCUUCAGGAAGGAGGGAGUGGCUGACAGCGUCAGAGGCUGAUGGCAGGCCAGUAGGGUGAGGGCCACUGAAGGCCACCACUCAGCAGCACAUGCUUAUCAAGCACAAGGGUGAAACACCUUCCUGAAUUGCUACCGCCCUGCACUCCCCGGGUGAGGCCUGAGUGGGAACAGAAUGCACGGACAGACACAGGAUGUUAAUGAUCCCAACCACAGAGUGGUGUUAGCAUCGGCAUAUCAGAGAGAACAUUCCACCUUGGACUUGGGUCUGGUUUAUUUCACUUAGCAUGAUAGUCUCUCCAGUUCCAUCCAUUUACCGGCAAAUGCCAUAAUUUCAUUCUUCUUUGUGAAAUACUGACAGACUCUUAAAAUCAGGCUUUCUGCAAGUGUCCAGGCUGUAGCUAGAUGGGGUGAUGCUCCGUGUGCAGGCCCCUAGCCUGGCUGCACAAAGCUGGGAGGCUUCUUUAAAAACACACAUCAGAAUCCCAGCCCCAGAAGACUUGAAAUAAGUAGAUCAAAAGAGUCUGGGCAACCAAUGAGAUAAAGAUCCCACGGUUAUCCUGAGGCAGUGGCAGGAGGCGCAGGCCCCAGAGGUCUGGCUCACCUCCCAUUCUUCCAGGUCUCGGCAUUUCCACUGUGCGCGGGUCACUGCUGCUGAGCCUGUUUCCCUCCUUAGCCGAUGAAGAGAAUGGCAGCUGCCCAUUCGAUGGCUGAAUGGGAUUGAAGGGAUCCUGUUUGCGAACAUGCAUAUGAAUAAAUCCACCCCCACUGCAGACGCAAGAGACUUCAACACACUUCGUACCAAAUCACUUUGGUUCAAAAGCUUCAUUUCCUGAUCUUCGUCCCUUCUGGUCCUGUCUCAUGUCCCUUCUCAUAGGCUCCUCCUUCUCUGCCCGCCAUGGCACGCAGCUCACCAAGACUCAGUCCCAGAGCCGGCUCUUGUCACCCCGAAGGUUCCUCACAUCAGUGUUGAACAACACGCUGACGAUUCCACUUUUAAAUCUCAAACCUGGACCUCACCUCUGAGCCCAAGAUUUAGCACUUGCCCAUUUGCUCAGCAUGUCCAGGAAGGUGACCCAGAGUCUCGGGUUGCUUGUGCAUGGCUCUUUGCCAACGGGGAACCCCCAACCUUUCUCCCUUAACCUGAUCCUUGUCUCAUGCUCCCCAGCCUCAUGAGUGGUAGGAACCACCGUCCACCCAAUGGAGAAUACAGACACCUAGGAGUUCUCCCUAACAACUCUGCCUUCCCCAUUCAACCUAGUCUACCCUAUUUCCAUCCAUUUUACCUCCUCAGUAUCUCUCCAACAUAUCCGCCAGAUUCCCCAGGACCAUGGCGGACACCCUCGUCCAAGCUCCAGUCUGCUCAUCUCUGGCAAUGGCCUCUGAAGCCUCUCCAUGGACUGCAGCCCCUCCCGUCCAUUCCCCACACUGCAGCCCUUACAGUGGCCCCAGUGAUCCCCACCCCCUGGUAUCCACACUCUGGUAGAAUCUCCUCUCGUGUGUGACUUGCAUCACGUGACCUGCUUCUAUGAACAGAAUGUGGCGAAAGUGAUGGGCUGUCCCACUCACAUGAGGCUGCGGGAAGACUGCUCUGUCUCUUCUCUUUCCCUGCCCACCUCCUCCCCUUGCCUUCCACGCCCCGGGGGCAAUCCGUUUCCAUGUCAUGAGCAGCCCCAUGGAGAGGUCCAGGGACAACAGAUGUCUCCACCCACAGCCACGUGAGUGAGCUUAGGUGCGGCCCUCUUGUAGCCAAGCCCUGAGAUGCCUGCAGCCCCCCUGAUAUCUGGUUGCCCUUUGGGAGACCCAGAGACAGGGAGUCAGCCACGUCAUGACCAGAUUUUUGACCCACAUAACUGUGAGGAAAUGCUGUGAGUUGCUUUAUGGCACUGUGUCUGGGGGUCAUUUGUUAUGCAGCAAGAGACAACCGAUACAGCUUCCAGCCAUCCUCCGCUGUGCUUCAAAACCACCCAUUCUUAAGACCGAAACCCCUGACACCUAAGGAUCUUUCUGACCUGACCUCUCUGACCUCUGCUCUGCUCUUGGCACGAGGUUCUCCUGCUUUUAGGGUCCCAGGGUCUCACAUUUUUUCAGGUCCUCGAGGAAGCUCUACUUCCUCUGCACGCAGGACAUUUGCACAGGCCCCCUUCGGCUUCCUGUGACUCGGAGCAGAAGUUUCUCUGCCCCAGGGAAGCCUUCCCCGAGUCCGUGGUCCAGGCUGAGCUCCACCGUGGCUGCUCUUGUGGUGACACCCGUUUCUUGACUUUACAGUGUGGGGUUGCUGACUUCAGUGUGCGACUGCCCGCUUGUGUUGGGGCCUGUUUCACUAGGCCUAGCUCCCUCACUAGAUGGUAAACGCCAAAGAACAGGGAACACGUGGAGGGGACCAUGACUAUCACCACCGUCUCCCUGAACCUGGCCCGUCAGAACUUCUUGAAACAUAUCUGGUAAAGUCGAGUGGGUCCCGGCCUUCUGUGGAGAUGCUCUCCCCCGGUGCCCAGUCCAGGCUCCCACACUUCCUCUAGAGGCACUUCCAAGGACUCAGGUGAGAUCGGAGGGGCCGAGCCCAGCCCCUCAGAGCGGUGUGAGCCUCGGCAAAAGAGCUGCCUUUUAUUCCAAGUGCACCGAGGGCCUUCUCUGGGUCUGCACCCUGCUGAGGGUGGGAAUCCAGAGGUGAGGCCAACAGACCCAGGCCCUCCCUUCACAGAGAUUACGGACUGGAGGGAGGGAAAGAGGCCAAUCAAGUUGUCACAUUCAUUAAAACAGGGCAGUGACAAGGAGCUAUGAGGACGUGUUGAGCAGGAGAUGAGCUAAUGCAGGGACACGAGAUACCCCUCUCCUAGGUGACCCUAGUCCCAGAACAAAGCCAAUGAGCUGCACCUUUCACAAGGCUCAGGAUGCAGGUGCUCAUGUCUCAGGACCAGCUGCGGCUUCAGGACCACAGUUUCCCUCUCCCUCACUCCUCCCUCUGCAGCAUCCACAAACGCUGGGACGAUUAACCUGCUGUGUCAUAGGCAGGGCUCGGUCCUCCUCCAUGACUUCACCCAGAGUUCUUAAAAUAAUACAAAGAGAGAAAAGCACGGACAGUCAUGCCCUGCAUGAUGACACUGCCGUCAAGGAUGGACCGUGCAAGUGACGGUGACCCUGUAAGAUUACAAAGGAAUGAAAAUCCUGAUGGCCCAGGAACCCCUUAGCUGUCACUAGAUGAUCACUUGUUUGUGGGGAAGCUGGUGUAAACAAACCCCUGUGCUGUAGUCACAGGAAAAUACAGCUCACACCAUCAGGCACAGUGCAUGACACUUAAUGAUAACGCAUGUCAUCGGUUUAUGUAUUUUCCAUGCUAUGCUUUUAUCAAUGUAUUAGAAUGCACUCCUUCUACUUAUUUUUUUUUAAAAAAGAGUUUACUGAAAAAUUCAGGGUUGUGUCAUUGGCAGCAGCUUCCUGUCUCUGGUGUUGACUGUCCUCUUCACUGCCUCAUUUUCUGUUAUCUUGUGUUUUU